AACGAACGCUGGCGGCAGGCCUAACACAUGCAAGUCGAACGCUGUAGCAAUACAGAGUGGCAGACGGGUGAGUAACGCGUGGGAACCUUCCCAGUGGUGCGGAAUAGCUCAGGGAAACUUGAGGUAAUACCGCAUAAGCCCCUAGGGGGAAAGAUUUAUCGCCAUUGGAUGGGCCCGCGUCGGAUUAGCUAGUUGGUGAGGUAAUGGCUCACCAAGGCAACGAUCCGUAGCGGUUUGAGAGAAUGACCAGCCACACUGGGACUGAGACACGGCCCAGACUCCUACGGGAGGCAGCAGUGGGGAAUCUUGGACAAUGGGCGCAAGCCUGAUCCAGCCAUGCCGCGUGAGUGACGAAGGUCUUCGGAUUGUAAAACUCUUUUGGCGGGGACGAUAAUGACGGUACCCGCAGAAUAAGCCCCGGCUAACUCCGUG
rnacentral:rRNA from 1 species